rnacentral:rRNA from 1 species
UACGUAGGGUCCGAGCGUUGCCCGGAAUUAUUGGGCGUAAAGGGCUCGUAGGCGGUUCGUCACGUCGGGAGUGAAAACUCGGGGCUUAACCCCGAGCCUGCUUCCGAUACGGGCGAGCUAGAGUUCGGCAGGGGAGACCGUGAAUUCCUGGUGUAGCGGUGAAAUGCGCAGAUAUCAGGAGGAACACCGGUGGCGAAGGCGGGUCUCUGGGCCGAUACUGACGCUGAGGAGCGAAAGCGUGGGGAGCGAACAGG